rnacentral:rRNA from 1 species
CCAAACAUUAAUAUUUAACCGCACAAAACUCUUAUGUUAAGUUAACAGUUCAAUCAUAGAACCAAACUAUAUAAGUUUA